AUUGAACGCUGGCGGCAUGCCUUACACAUGCAAGUCGAACGGCAGCACGGGAGCUUGCUCCUGGUGGCGAGUGGCGAACGGGUGAGUAAUACAUCGGAACGUACCCUGAAGUGGGGGAUAACGUAGCGAAAGUUACGCUAAUACCGCAUAUUCUGUGAGCAGGAAAGAGGGGGAUCGCAAGACCUCUUGCUUUAGGAGCGGCCGAUGUCGGAUUAGCUAGUUGGUGAGAUAAAGGCUCACCAAGGCGACGAUCCGUAGCGGGUCUGUGAGGAUGAUCCGCCACACUGGGACUGAGACACGGCCCAGACUCCUACGGGAGGCAGCAGUGGGGAAUUUUGGGACAAUGGGCGCAAGCCUGAUCCAGCCAUGCCGCGUGAGUGAAGAAGGCCUCGGUUGU
rnacentral:rRNA from 1 species